GAACCAUGAAAGCCUGACUGUGAAAUUUGUCACCUCAAGAGGGCCGUGGUUGAUUUAGCUCAUCAGACUGGCUAGACAGGUGUCUUCUUUCCCCCUCUGGAAACACUCCAUGUUCCUCCCUCCUGAAGCUGCACUUGGAGGGCGACCUUCUUGAGAGAAGAGGUCAGUUCUGUAAUCAAGGAUACACAAGUAGCCUCACUCCCCUGCUAAAAAUUCUACAGUCUCCCAAGGCCUGUUUGUAGGAGAACUAGGGUAGCUUCGAGCACUGCGGAUAUGUCCAAAUGAGCCAUUGCAUGUGGCAGCCUGCUUUCCCUU
rnacentral:snRNA from 1 species